rfam:Fukomys damarensis contig119290, whole genome shotgun sequence.
CCAAAGGCCCUUUUCAGGGCCCCCAAAACGUCGAGAAAGGGCUGU